rnacentral:rRNA from 1 species
UACGUAGGGUGCGAGCGUUAAUCGGAAUUACUGGGCGUAAAGGGUGCGCAGGCGGUUAUAUAAGACAGAUGUGAAAUCCCCGGGCUCAACCUGGGAACUGCGUUUGUGACUGUAUGACUAGAGUACGGGUAGAGAGGGGUGGAAUUCCUGGUGUAGCAGUGAAAUGCGUAGAUAUCAGGAGGAACAUCGAUGGCGAAGGCAGCCCCUUGGACCUGUACUGACGCUCAUGCACGAAAGCGUGGGGAGCAAACAGG